CCUACGGGAGGCAGCAGUGAGGAAUAUUGCGCAAUGGGCGAAAGCCUGACGCAGCGACGCCGCGUGAAGGAUGAAGGUCUUCGGAUCGUAAACUUCUGUUAAGUGGGAAGAAAGACUCGUUUCUAAUAAAAACGAGGGAUGACAGUACUAUUAGAGAAAGCACCGGCUAACUUCGUGCCAGCAGCCGCGGUAAUACGAAGGGUGCUAGCGUUAUUCGGAAUCAUUGGGCGUAAAGGGCGCGUAGGCGGCCUGUUAAGUUUGCUGUUAAAUCUUUCGGCCUAACCGAAAAACUGCAGCAAAAACUGAUAGGCUAGAGUGUAAGAGAGAGAAGUGGAAUUCUCGGAGUAGCGGUAAAAUGCGUAGAUCUCGAGAGGAACACCGAUGGCGAAGGCAGCUUCUUGGCCUACUACUGACGCUGAGGCGCGAAAGCGUGGGGAGCAAACAGGAUUAGAUACCCUGGUAGUCCACGCUGUAAACGAUGAUCACUAGAUGUUAGUUCUGCUUAGCAGGAUUAGUGUCGUAGCUAACGCGUUAAGUGAUCCGCCUGGGAAGUACGGUCGCAAGGCUAAAACUCAAAAGGAAUUGACGG
rnacentral:rRNA from 1 species